UACGUAGGGUGCGAGCGUUGUCCGGAAUUAUUGGGCGUAAAGAGCUUGUAGGUGGUUUGUCGCGUCUGCUGUGAAAAUCCGAGGCUCAACCUCGGACUUGCAGUGGGUACGGGCAGACUAGAGUGAUGUAGGGGAGACUGGAAUUCAUGGUGUAGCAGUGAAAUGCGUAGAGAUCAUGAGGAAGACCAGUGGCGAAGGCGGGUCUCUGGACAGUUCCUGACACUGAGGCACGAAGGCCAGGGGAGCAAACGGG
rnacentral:rRNA from 1 species